UACGUAGGGCGCAAGCGUUGUCCGGAAUUAUUGGGCGUAAAGAGCUCGUAGGCGGUCUGUCGCGUCGGCUGUGAAAACCCGGAGCUCAACUCCGGGCCUGCAGUCGAUACGGGCAGACUGGAGUUCGGCAGGGGAGACUGGAAUUCCUGGUGUAGCGGUGAAAUGCGCAGAUAUCAGGAGGAACACCAGUGGCGAAGGCGGGUCUCUGGGCCGAUACUGACGCUGAGGAGCGAAAGCGUGGGGAGCGAACAGG
rnacentral:rRNA from 1 species